rnacentral:rRNA from 1 species
UAUGAAGAAGGCCUUCGGGUUGUAAAGUACUUUCAGCGGGGAGGAAGGCGAUAAGGUUAAUAACCUUGUCGAUUGACGUUACCCGCAGAAGAAGCACCGGCUAACUCCGUGCCAGCAGCCGCGGUAAUACGGAGGGUGCAAGCGUUAAUCGGAAUUACUGGGCGUAAAGCGCACGCAGGCGGUCUGUCAAGUCAGAUGUGAAAUCCCCGGGCUUAACCUGGGAACUGCAUUUGAAACUGGCAGGCUAGAGUCUUGUAGAGGGGGGUAGAAUUCCNGGUGUAGCGGUGAAAUGCGUAGAGAUCUGGAGGAAUACCGGUGGCGAAGGCGGCCCCCUGGACAAAGACUGACGCUCAGGUGCGAAAGCGUGGGGAGCAAACAGGAUUAAAUACCCUGGUAGUCCACGCCGUAAACGAUGUCGACUUGGAGGUUGUGCCCUUGAGGCGUGGCUUCCG